AUGAUGGCCUUUUGUCGAUCUGUAAAAUCAGACUGUAAGAAGGUUUCAAGUGGUUUCCAAUAAAGGUGUAUCAAGAGCAUCUACUACAUAUAUAAAUAUCUAGUGUUUGAUGUUUGAAUAUGGAGUCGUAUUUCAGGCCCAUUAUAUUUUCUAUCAUGAUUAUGAUUUAUUUUAUCUUGUCAUAUUUUCUAGUAGUGAUUAGGAUUUGGGUGAAAAAUUUAUGUGAUCAUCUUUUUUAUAUUCGUAAUUCUUUGUGUAAUUGUGUUUAUUUCCCAACAGUUGGUACAUCUAAUCUAUACUUUAUUCUCUUUCCACUUUAACUAUCAUUUUUUUAAAACACAUGCGAAAAAGAAGUGGCUCAACUAGCAAAGUACGGAGGGAGUAUAUUAUAGUGGCUCACCAUCUACUUCUCCCUCUUUCGUAGGAUAUUUCAAUUCAGUUUUCAUGCUCGGACCAUCACUCUAAGGAUGAAAUGAAGGUGUGAAUUAUGAACAAAUUCAACAUUCCAACUAGACUCAGAGAGAGAGAGAGAGAGAAAGGAUAUACAGCAAGCACCUUGUGGUUGAGGUUGAGGGCGAGUGGAUAAGAGAGAUUCGGAUGAAGGGGGUGGCUUUUGUGAAGUGGAGGCGAGGACUUGGGAGAG